GCGGAUUGGACGAUUUUGGAGUUGGAUCGGAGGUUUUGAAGGAUGGAGAAUCCAAAUAUAGCAAUGCCUUCAACUUUCCAUGGUCCAAAAUGAAGAUCUCUGAAGGUGGUGGAAAGAGAAGAGAGAGGGAGCGCUGGUUUGAAUAAAGGGAGUUAGGGUUUGAAGGGCCGGUGGCUCAGGGUUAUUUAAACCCCUGGGUACCCAUCGGAAGUUCCGAUGGACUGUCGGAAAUUCUGACAGGAGUUGAGAUUCUCCAGAGGGCCCCUGUCGAGACUUCUCGAAAACUUU
rnacentral:lncRNA from 1 species